rnacentral:sRNA from 1 species
CAACAGCAAGUAGAAUCAGUCUAAUCAUGAACUGUCUGAAGAUUUGCGGUUUCAUUUUUGCCCUGAUUGCAGCUCUGGCUACAGCAGAGGCUGGCACUCAGGUGAUUAAUGCUGGCGGACACACCUUGAUCCAAACGGACAAGCAUCAGUAUAUUCGCAAGAACUAAAUUACAA